UACGGGGGGGGCAAGCGUUGUUCGGAAUUACUGGGCGUAAAGGGCUCGUAGGUGGCCAACUAAGUCAGACGUGAAAUCCCUCGGCUUAACCGGGGAACUGCGUCUGAUACUGGAUGGCUUGAAUCCGGGAGAGGGAUGCGGAAUUCCAGGUGUAGCGGUGAAAUGCGUAGAUAUCUGGAGGAACACCGGUGGCGAAGGCGGCAUCCUGGACCGGUAUUGACGCUGAGGCGCGAAAGCCAGGGGAGCGAACGGG
rnacentral:rRNA from 1 species